CAACAAUCUUGUCGCAACCGAGGAUCCGGUAGGGUCUAUUAUUGAUCGUUGCUGCGCUUAGGUCAAUGACUCCACGUGCAGCUUGUAGAAAUAACACCCCUCUACGGAAUCAACCGAUUCUACCGAGCUGAAAAACUCAUAACUUGACAGAAGAAGCUCGAAGCUUCGUGCGUAACGUACGCAUCGAUGUGUGUACCUAUGCUUUCAUAUUCUCUGAUGCAUCCCCGUUUUCUCUUGUACACUUCCCUCUGAUAAUUUACAAGAUUAUCACUUCUGUACUAACAUAUCAUACGCGUAGUACGCGUUUAACGACAAUGACAAUCAACUCACGAAUUAUCUACUUGUCUAAGACUGUGAGUUGUCUGUUAUCUCAUCACCAAAUCUUGACUCGUGAGGUAUAUAUGUAUGAAACUUGUUACACGAUUUACUUAGGUCUGGUCAUUAUCUACACGAUUAUACUUGCUACGAAAUUGUAGCGUAGGUAACCCAGUAUUUUUCAAGAUUUUCGUUAGUUUUUUCAUUUUCUUUCUUGAAAUGAAUUAUUCCGAGUUUUUCGCUGUACAAUCACCGCUCGCAAUUGUAUCGCGUAUAAUCUUUCAUGAAUUCGUUGUAGGAUUUUUCGUGUACCUCCAUGAAAAUUUUAUACGUAUACUUUGCUGCCGAGCUUUACAGGCACCCAACACAUCCGCCUUUACAAUUUCUGAUCAGGAUAAUUGAAUAAUGUGGUGUUCCUUAUGAGAUGUACUGAUAUAUGGGCGAACAAAAUGGAAUUCGAUACCUAACUUUAUUAUGUGUCCUGAUAUGUAGACUGAAUCAAAUAGUGCGAACUAUACCUGGGGUGUUAUUUGAUUAAAAAAUGGCAAUGCUAAAGUUGAAAAAGGCGGGUUUUCUGUAAACCAUUUAAACAACGUAAACGUUAUCAUAUGUAAUCCGUCGGUACUGUUGACCUGGAUCAUCCUUGUAUCGUUUCUCAUCUGCCAGUUUCGGAAUAUUGUGCUCGAUGUCGCUACCGACCGACAAUCAGCCGAGUCAACGAAUUUGUACCCUGUAAAGACGUGAGUUAUGAGAUCAGUCGCAAGAUGGAACUACUAUGGAAAGACAGCUGAAUUUGAGCACAGGGCUCAUUGUCAGUUCGGCUUCAGCGACAGGAGCGGCAACAUCAGGAGCGACGUCAGUAGCAACGCAAGUUUCUCAGAGUGACGAUGGAGAGAGCGAACGAUAACCAUUGCACGAUGGAACCAAAUCAGGACAUCAACGAGUCUCUCUGAAGAUCAACUCCACUUCAUCCUGUUCCGGUAGAGAUGGAUCUGCGACACAUGAGACGUACAACUCCUUCUUUGCAGAGGUCGCAGUUCCUCCAACGUCAUUGCCCG
rnacentral:lncRNA from 1 species